rnacentral:lncRNA from 1 species
GUGCAUAUCUUUGUCAUGGGCUUGAAAAGCUAUGAAAAUGGCUAAAGGUGGUCCUCCUUGCUUCCUUUGCGAUCUCCAUCUCAUGUUCCCUGCAUUUAAUCUUGGUACUUAAAGAUGGUCGUUAUCACGGGGUCAUCUCCAUGUUUCAUUGCAUGACGUGUGCUACAUAUUCACUUUUUGGAUGGUUGGAAUAAUUAUUCAAGGAUCGGUGCUCCACCAUAAAAUUAAAUAUUAAUAAACAGAGGCAGCAAGUAUAAAGAA